CGGGACACGUGGUAUCCUGUCUGAAUAUGGGGGGACCAUCCUCCAAGGCUAAAUACUCCUGACUGACCGAUAGUGAACCAGUACCGUGAGGGAAAGGCGAAAAGAACCCCGGCGAGGGGAGUGAAAAAGAACCUGAAACCGUGUACGUACAAGCAGUGGGAGCACAGAGCAAUCUGUGUGACUGCGUACCUUUUGUAUAAUGGGUCAGCGACUUAUAUUCUGUAGCAAGGUUAACCGAAUAGGGGAGCCGAAGGGAAACCGAGUCUUAACUGGGCGUUAAGUUGCAGGGUAUAGACCCGAAACCCGGUGAUCUAGCCAUGGGCAGGUUGAAGGUUGGGUAACACUAACUGGAGGACCGAACCGACUAAUGUUGAAAAAUUAGCGGAUGACUUGUGGCUGGGGGUGAAAGGCCAAUCAAACCGGGAGAUAGCUGGUUCUCCCCGAAAGCUAUUUAGGUAGCGCCUCGUGAAUUCAUCUCCGGGGGUAGAGCACUGUUUCGGCAAGGGGGUCAUCCCGACUUACCAACCCGAUGCAAACUGCGAAUACCGGAGAAUGUUAUCACGGGAGACACACGGCGGGUGCUAACGUCCGUCGUGAAGAGGGAAACAACCCAGACCGCCAGCUAAGGUCCCAAAGUCAUGGUUAAGUGGGAAACGAUGUGGGAAGGCCCAGACAGCCAGGAUGUUGGCUUAGAAGCAGCCAUCAUUUAAAGAAAGCGUAAUAGCUCACUGGUCGAGUCGGCCUGCGCGGAAGAUGUAACGGGGCUAAACCAUGCACCGAAGCUGCGGCAGCGACGCUUAUGCGUUGUUGGGUAGG
rnacentral:rRNA from 1 species